GACGAACGCUGGCGGCGUGCUUAACACAUGCAAGUCGAACGGAAAGGCCCUGCUUUUGUGGGGUGCUCGAGUGGCGAACGGGUGAGUAACACGGGAGUAACCUGCCCUUGACUUUGGGAUAACUUCAGGAAACUGGGGCUAAUGCCGGAUAGGAGCUCCUGCUGCAUGGUGGGGGUUGGAAAGUUUCGGCGGUUGGGGAUGGACUCGCGGCUUAUCAGCUUGUUGGUGGGGUAGUGGCUUACCAAGGCUUUGACGGGUAGCCGGCCUGAGAGGGUGACCGGCCACAUUGGGACGGAGAUACGGCCCAGACUCCUACGGGAGGCAGCAGUGGGGAAUAUUGCACAAUGGGCGGAAGCCUGAUGCAGCAACGCCGCGUGCGGGAUGACGGCCUUCGGGUUGUAAACCGCUUUCGCCUGUGACGAAGCGUGAGUGACGGUAAUGGGGAAAGAAGCACCGGCUAACUACGU
rnacentral:rRNA from 1 species